rnacentral:rRNA from 1 species
AUGUACUACCCAAAAUCAGAAUUUUCUGGUGGCAGGUACUCAAGGGGUCUCCUUCCUUCUCUGGAAACCCUCACACAUCACCAUAUUGCGGACAAUGCAACAUGCAAACUCUUCGGUUUUGCCAAAGAAAGUCUCUACCAUGCGCCGAUCACAUGUGAUCAUGCCAAGCAAUUUUGGGUAGCACUGUUUGAACAAACAUGACUGAAACUCCCGCGCCUACAUCCUCUGACAUAGGCAAGUGAUGUCAUUUUAUCGGACACUAUCAAGAAGAAGGACGCAAUGAUCUUUGUCACAAUCAUGUGGUGCAUCUGGUCUAGCAUGAAUAAAUUUACUCAUGGCGAGGAAUAGUUUCAGCCGCUGGCAUCGAUGGAACUAGUUGAUGAACUAGUAGGGGUGCUUAAGCUACCCUUAAGUCGAGCUGCUCCUAAGGAGAACAAUAGCCCGCAGAGCUGGCACCCUCCCAUGGCCGACUGGGUAGCUGUUAACUCUGACAGGGCAAUUGAUGCAUGUAGACGGGUGGCUGGCUCGGCGUACAUUAUUAGAGAUCACCAAGGGGUGUUCUUAGAAGCCGGACUAAAGCAAUAUAAGGGCAUUGAGGAGCCUUUUAUGAGCGGGCUAUUGGCAUGCCGAGAUGGUGUAGAAGCUGUGAUGAGAAGAGGACAUCAAUAUGUUAUGGUCUAG